AGUGAAAAUGUGAGGAGGUUAUGUCUGAUCAUUGAUUCUCUCUCACCAUUUCUCCGCGUCAUCUCAUGUAAAACCGCUUUCUCGUGGAGACCUUUCUCAUAGCUCAUCUCCUGCAGCUGGCUUCUAAAUCCCAAUUCUUCCAUGCCGGUCAUUCCAACUGCGUUCAAUUAUCCAUUAUGGGCCUCCAUUCUCCGUACGUGUCUGGAUCUUUCUGGUCUCGAAAGGUUCUCUAGUUUUUGUUCGUUGGUGAUCCUCGUGUUAUGUAAGAGUACAUUUUUGUUGCAGUCAUUCUCUUCAUAGUUAUUAUCUAGUUUGUAAUUCUGCUUUUCGGAUAUUGUGACAAAUUGCACAUUUGAAUCGAAGUUGCUUCAAUUUUAGCUUAAGGAUGCGGCGAAGGUGAAUCCGUACCCCUUGUUUAUGUCUCUGGUUCAGAGGGUUUAGCCUCUUAACACUUCAUGAUGGUCGAUGUCCAUGGUUUUCUUUGAAAAUUCACUUUAACAAUUUGACAUAUUUUCCUGCUUUCCCCCCUCCCCACCACUUGCUAUAGACUUGAAACCUGAAAUUUUCUGGUAUAGGAUAUGGUAAUUUGGGUCCAUUGUUCAUAUUGUAUCUAGAUUAAUUAUGCCAUCAUUGACCUUGGAACGUAGUUUGUUUUUCAAGUUCAGAUUCAAUAUUUUGGAAACGCACGUUGACGAAAAAAGGUAAAGGAGGAGGACAGCAAAAGAAUCUCCAUUGACAUCCUAUUAUGUAGACCAACAUUUUUUUCUCUCCCUUGUAUGCUAAUACAUCCAUUUGACUGUUAGCAGAGUACCGAGUAAUUUGGUAAUUGAGCAGACUGAUUGAAAAUUGAUCAACGACUUCUUCUGCCUUUGCCUACCUCAAUUUUCUAUUUAACUUCGACUAUAGUUUAUCUAUACUUGUUUUGAUUUUUAUUCCUUCAAACAUGAAGUCUACGUAGUAGGUUUAUCUCUAAUUUAGACCUUAAAUUGAGCGACUUUGAUAAAUCAUAAGGGAUGAGUGGUACAUGAUUGCACAUAUACCUGCUAAUCAAUGGAGGACGUGCAAGUAAUAAGUUAUUUUCCUCCUUAUUCCAUGAUUUACUUGAGAACAUUCACCCUCGCCCCUAGAGAUUUGGGAUUGAUUCUAAUUAAAAAAGUUUAUUAGUAACUGCUGAAAGUGCUGGAGGGAUUAGACUGUCAGAAAGAUUAUUCUUCCAAAUAUGUGGACUUAAGGAUAUUAAGGAUGCCAACACAUAAAGUCUUGCUUAUCUACCAAAAGAAUAGGACUUACCAAAGGAAUAGGUUGGUUACCACCAAAUCUCUAACCAUUUGUAUUUGUUGAGUUAUUUUUGCAUUCCCAAAUUAGGGAUUCCAUAUUGUAUAAAUACAUCACCUAUGUAUAUUUCAAAUACAAGAAAUCAUAAAGGAAAACUUGGCUUGCCACUGUUGUUUAUCGCCUAUCUCUUGAAGUUGUCGUCUACCUCCCGCAGAUGUUAUCGUCUACCUCCACAAACACUAUCGUUUACCUUGUCUAAGUUCUGUCGUCUGCAGCAUGAGUCAAGUCAUAUCCUUCAACCUCUCAUUUCUAACUCUAAGUGAAACUUUUUUAUGCUGAUCAACUUCUUCAGCAUAACUAUACACUGGAUUCAGAACCGGGAGAUUUAGAACUUCAAUGCCUGACAGGAAAAGAAAUGAUAUCGGCCCUGCUGCGUUUUUCAAAGAAGCCGGCAUCUUCAUUCUAUUGCAUGACAGAAGGAUUGACCACUUUAUUACAGAACAUGAAAUAUGGAACAAGCCGAAUUUCAGAAGGGUAAAUGAUACACGACUUUAUUUUCCAUCUCGGCAUUCCAAAAAACUUGGCUGAUGGAUAGUUAGAUGAUAUAAGUCUCAAUCUAUAGAAUAGCUCAGUUCAUCUCUUGGACGUACAUAAUAGCGAUUUCCAGAUACUUAUUUAGCAGCUUUAGCAGCCUUAGCUAACCUGUGUGAGGUAAUGCCUCCAUCACUUGACUAUUUUAACUUCUCUACAUUGUUCUCUUCUACAUGGUUCUCUUUUCUACAACUGCUUACCAAUUGGAUCGGAAGAUUUUUGUCAUUCUGCUCAUCACUGACAUGUUUAGGGUGCAAGAAACUUGGUUGAUUGGUGGAAGACAAUAGCCUUGCCCACAUCCUGUCGGUAAUCACUACUUUGUUUUGUCUCUCAAUUAUCCGCUGCAAAUGUAGGAGUAACAUAAGAUUGGUCUAUAAUAUUCAGAGUUACCGGAAGGCCAGGGAGAUAAUCAGUCAAGUGAGGGACAUCUUCAAGAACAUAAUGGAAGUCGCCACCGGUCAAGAUUUCGGACGCGGAAUCUCCUGGAGCAUCCCUACCAUUUC